CGGCUGCGUGGUCGAGCCUCGCGCUGGGCGGAGACUGAAGUUGUUUCUGUCUGGCCGAGUCGCGUAUUUUGCGGCUGUAACUUUACCUCGUUCGAGCCCACUCUACAAACGUGUCUGAGCCGUUGCACCCCCCGGACUUCUCCUAGCACCACAACCAAGCUGCACCCCUGCAGAUUUCCACACACAGUUUUCAGACAGUCUCCCUAUGCCGGGCAGUGUUCAAGGACCUAUGAAAACAGUGGUGGACAAGGAAGAUGUAACUGGUGCCCCUGUGGAGUUUACAACCUAGAGGAGCCCACAGUAGUAAAUGGUAUCGAUUGGAAGGCGUGACCAGAGUUGUUGCUGACAGCGACAAGCUGUCUCUGCCAGACAAGGACCGGGAACCUUCGAAUGAUUUUGAAAUUAGAGGAGACCACGGCACCCAAGAGGGUCUUUGCAGAUAUCAAGUUUAAGAGAGGUCAUUAUGGGAUCAUCGUCCACAUGACUGGUGUCCUUACAAAAGGGGGAAAUUUGGAAAUAGACGCACAGAGAGGAUGCCACAUGAAGACGAAGGCAGAGAUCAGGGCGAUGCUUGUUCAAGCCAAAGAUGGCCAGCAAACCCCGGAAGUGAGGGCAGAACAUGGACCAGAAGGCGCUCAGAAGGAACCAGUCCUACAGACACCUUGAUGUCAGACCACUAGCUUCCAGAACUGAGAGAAUGCAUUUCUGUUGUUGAAGCCACCCAGUCUGUGGUCAAGACUCCCAGGCAUGAAGAGUUAUAGGAUGCAGUGACAUCACGGGCGUGCUGACCAGAUGCACUGAGGACCCAGAAUCACAUCCGCGGGGUUGCUACCUGAACAGCCAAGACUGAAUCUACACCUAAGGACACAUCAGGCAAACCCUGAGGGGUGUUCUGCAAAAUGACAGGACGGUACCCCUCCAACAUGUCAAGGUCAUGAAAGAAAAAGAGAGGCAGAUAUUUUAGAUGAAAGGAGGAUAAAAAGCCAUGGCGGCUAGGUGUAAUCGUGUGGCCCUGGAGCAGAUCCUGGAGCAGAAGGAAAAAUUGCAAUCAAGCAUGUGAGUGAGACUAUUGGUGUAGACUAGAUAAGAGGACUGCAUCAACGUGAAACUUCCUGACUGUGUUGAUUGUACUAUGGCUGUGUAAAUUAAUAUCCUUGUUUUCCGGAAAUACAUAAUGAAGUAUUUGGCAAUAAAGGGACAACCUACUCUCAAAUGAUUAAUAUAGUUAUAUAUAUAGAGAGAGGGAGAGAAAUGUGACAACAUGCAGGUUGGAAUAAAAGGUAUGUGUGAGUUCUUUGUAUCAUUCUUGUGAAUUUUCUUUAACUUUGAAAUUAAUUC